rnacentral:rRNA from 1 species
UACGUAGGGUGCAAGCGUUAAUCGGAAUUACUGGGCGUAAAGCGUGCGCAGGCGGUUUGGUAAGACAGAUGUGAAAUCCCCGGGCUUAACCUGGGAAUUGCAUUUGUGACUGCCCGGCCUAGAGUGUGUCAGAGGGGGGUAGAAUUCCGACGUGUAGCAGUGAAUGCGUAGAGAAUGGUGGAGGAAUACCGCUGGCGAAGGCAGCCCCCCUGGGCUAACGACUGAGCGCCUCAGGCACAAAGCGUGG